rnacentral:SRP_RNA from 1 species
GCUGGGUGUGGUGGUGCAUGCCUGUAGUGCCAGCUACUUGGGAGGCUGAGGUAGGAGGAUUGCUUGAGCCCAGGAGUUUGAGGCAUGCAGUGAUCAUGCUACUAUACUGCAGCCUGGGCAACAGAGUGAGAUCCUAUCUCAA